rnacentral:lncRNA from 1 species
CCAGAAGUUGUUCACAGCAAUCCGUGCCCUGUUCCUGGCUGUCUGUGUCUUGAAGGUCAUUGUGUCCUUGGCUUCCUUGGGAGUAGGUCUUCGAAACUUGUGUGGCCAGAGCUCCCAGCCCCUGAAUGAGGAAGGAUCAGAGAAGAGGCUACUGGGGGAGAAUUCAGUGCCCCCUUCGCCCUCUAGGGAGCAGACCUCCACUGCCAUUGUCCUGUGAGCCGCCAAAGACCCCAUGGGGUGCCCGCAUGUCCCUGUCUAGGGCAGCCCAGGGCCCCCACUCCUGGCUCCUCACACUUGCCUCCCCUAUGGCCGCUCUCCAGACCCUCCUCCUUUCUUCUCCCCACAUCCGCACCUGCUGUUCCCACUCCGGGGUUCUCAAGUCCAUGAACAGAUAUUGCUGCAUUUUCCACAAUGCUGAUUAAACAUAAUAAACAAUCCAGAAAAGCAGUUUUGCCCAGA